rnacentral:rRNA from 1 species
GAUGAACGCUAGCGGCAGGCCUAAUACAUGCAAGUCGGACGGGAUUCAGGAGCUUGCUUCUGAUGAGAGUGGCGCACGGGUGCGUAACACGUAUGUAACCUACCUUUAUCAGGGGGAUAGCCUCUCGAAAGAGAGAUUAAGCCCGCAUAAAAUCACAGCACAGCAUUGUGUAAUGAUCAAAUAUUUAUAGGAUAAAGAUGGGCAUGCGGAACAUUAGCUAGAUGGCGGGGUAACGGCCCACCAUGGCGACGAUGUUUAGGGGAUCUGAGAGGAUGGCCCCCCACACUGGUACUGAGACACGGACCAGACGCAUACGGGAGGCAGCAGUAAGGAAUAUUGGUCAAUGGGCGGAAGCCUGAACCAGCCAUGCCGCGUGCAGGAAGACGGCCCUACGGGUUGUAAACUGCUUUUAUACGGGAAUAAACCCAGAUACGUGUAUCUGGCUGAAUGUACUGUAAGAAUAAGGAUCGGCUAACUCCGUG